GACGAACGCUGGCGGCGUGCUUAACACAUGCAAGUCGAACGCAGUGGCGAACGGGUGAGUAACGCGUAAUCAACCUGCCCUUCAGAGGGGGACAACAGUUGGAAACGACUGCUAAUACCGCAUACUGAAGGAGGGGAUUUCGUCUGAUUAGCUAGUUGGAGGGGUAACGGCCCACCAAGGCGAUGAUCAGUAGCCGGUCUGAGAGUAUUAACAGCCCCAUUGUGACUGAGACACGGUCCAUACUCCUACGGGAGGCCGCAGUGGGGAAUUUUGCACAAUGGGCGCAAGCCUGAUGCAGCCAGGCCGCGUGUAUGAAGAAGGCCUUCGGGUUGUAAAGUACUUUCAGCGGUGAGCGUUACCCGCAGAAGAAGCACCGGCUAACUCCGUGCCAGCAGCCGCGGUAAUUC
rnacentral:rRNA from 1 species